rnacentral:rRNA from 1 species
AGCGGCCGAUAUCAGAUUAGCUAGUUGGUGGGGUAAAGGCCGUACCAAGGCAACGAUCUGUAGUUGGUCUGAGAGGACGACCAGCCACACUGGGACUGAGACACGGCCCAGACUCCUACGGGAGGGCAGCAGUGGGGAAUUUUGGACAAUGGGCGCAAGCCUGAUCCAGCAAUGCCGCGUGCAGGAAGAAGGCCUUCGGGUUGUAAACUGCUUUUGUCAGGGAAGAAAUCCUCUAGGUUAAUACCCUUGGGGGGAUGACGGUACCUGAAGAAUAAGCACCGGCUAACUACGUGCCAGCAGCCGCGGUAAUACGUAGGGUGCAAGCGUUAAUCGGAAUUACUGGGCGUAAAGCGUGCGCAGGCGGCUUUGCAAGACAGAUGUGAAAAUCCCCGGGCUCAACCUGGGAACUGCAUUUGUGACUGCAAGGCUAGAGUACGGUAGAGGGGGAUGGAAUUCCGCGUGUAGCAGUGAAAUGCGUAGAUAUGCGGAGGAACACCAAUGGCGAAGGC